rnacentral:rRNA from 1 species
GUGGGGAAUCUUAGACAAUGGGGGAAACCCUGAUCUAGCCAUGCCGCGUGAGCGAUGAAGGCCUUAGGGUUGUAAAGCUCUUUCAGCUGGGAAGAUAAUGACGGUACCAGCAGAAGAAGCCCCGGCUAACUCCGUGCCAGCAGCCGCGGUAAUACGGAGGGGGCUAGCGUUGUUCGGAAUUACUGGGCGUAAAGCGCACGUAGGCGGACCGGAAAGUCAGAGGUGAAAUCCCAGGGCUCAACCUUGGAACUGCCUUCAAAACUCCUGGUCUGGAGUUCGAGAGAGGUGAGUGGAAUUCCGAGUGUAGAGGUGAAAUUCGUAGAUAUUCGGAGGAACACCAGUGGCGAAGGCGGCUCACUGGCUCGAUACUGACGCUGAGGUGCGAAAGCGUGGGGAGCAAACAGGAUUAGAAACCCGGGUAGUCC